ensembl:lncRNA HLA-V major histocompatibility complex, class I, V (pseudogene)
AGGAGAUGUCCUGGACUCACACAGAAACUCAGGGCUAUGGAAUGAAGGGCAAGCUCACUCUCUGGCAACAAGCUCCCUGGAGUGAUUUUUCUUCUAGAAGAGUCCACGGGGACAGGCUGCCCCAGUUCUCACUCCCAUUGAGUGUCGGGUUCCUAGAGAAGCCAAUCAAUGUAGCCGCGGUCCCGGUUCUAAAGUUCCCACGCACCCACCGGGACUCCGAUUCUCCCCAGUCGCCGAGGAUGGUGUCAUGGCGCCCCGAACCCUGCUUCUGCUGCUCUCGGGGGCCCUGGUCCUGACCCAGACCUGGGCAGGCUUCCACUCCUUGAGGUAUUUCCACACCACCAUGUCCCGGCCCGGCCGCGCGGAUCCCCGCUUCCUCUCCGUGGGCGACGUGGACGACACGCAGUGCGUGCGGCUCGACAGCGACGCCACGAGUCCCAGGAUGGAGCCGGAGGGGCCGGAAUAUUGGGAAGAGGAGACAGGGACCGCCAAGGCCAAAGCACAGUUUUACCGAGUGAACCUGCGGACCCUGAGCGGCUACUACAACCAGAGUGAGGCCUGUGAGUGACACCGGCCGGGGGCGCAGAUCACUACCCCUCUACAUCCCCCACGGACCGCCCGGGUCUCCCCGAGUCUCUGGGUCCGAGAUCCACGCCGAGGCAGCGGAACCUGGAGACCCUUUACCCGGGAGAGGCCCAGGAGCCGUUACCCGGUUUCAUUUUCAGCCAAAAUCCCCGCAGGGGCUGCCAGCCACACAGAGUCAUGGACAGGUCUCUACAGACACAACUUAGUGCCAGCUUGGAUGAAACCCUCUGAGGAAUGGCUGCCAUCUUUCAGGAUGUGGUGCAUGUAUUGAAUCAAAGAUGUCUCUAUAGUGCUGUGUUUACAGAAGGAAGAAUACGUGGGUCCAAAAACCAAGAAGUAGAAGCAGGGAUGUUUGAAUAGUAUGUGUCCAGACACAAGAAGGUGAGAAGAGGAGGAGGCAGGGCUGCUAUCACACAAGGAGGGCAGGAGAUGUGUGUGUGGAAAUAAGAGAUCCACUUGGAGACCUUAUGGUUCCCCUUGUCCUGUUGUAAGUGUGAGCAGAAUCAUCCAGCAACCCAGCCUGAGAGGGUUUCAUAUUCAAGAGCCCAGAACCCUCAGGAAGGAAGGAUUGAGCGAUACUCAUAGGUAAUGUCCCAAGGCUGUGCUCCUGUGCUCUGACAUCCUCAGCAGGAUUGGUGCAAAGCCCUGCUUCCCAUGGGCUGUUCCCAGCCAGUGACUGGUCACAGCAGGCGUUAAGGCAAGCCAUUCCUGGGAGACACGGGACUCCUCUGAUGGCCAACUGUAGCUGGAAGGCUCCUCCACGGCCUUGCUCAACUCUCCUUAGAUUGCCUGUGCUCUAGGAUGCGUCGAACAAACUUUCUCUCCUUCUGUCCAGCACUUGGGGUCACACUUGCAUCGUGGUCUGCCGCCUUUUCCAGGGAUUUCUGGCUCACUUCCCAUAUUCCCUUACGGGUGUGUCCCCUCAUAAGAUGUCGCAGACUUUAAGCUCAUCUUGGCAUCUGCUCCUUGAAGGACUUGGACUAAAAAUUAUUUCCAUCUGCAUAUCAAUAACUCUUAUUCCAACCUGUAAAAUCCUUCUCUUUAUCCAACUUCUGCCACCCCCACAGAAUCUAUUUUACUUGUGUGUGUAGUAUCUCUUUGAGUUAACAGAUAUUUGUUCUAUUAAGCUACUAAAUUUUGAGGUAGUUUGUGACACAGCACUAGAUAACUAUUAAGGCUUUCUUAAGUUUCCAUUUUCCAUGGAUAUUAUCUACAUAUCUUUUAAUCCCUUGCAUUUUAAUAACAUUAGCUAUACUUGCUGUUUCCAACUCUUUCCUCCUAUUUUUGAACAUUUUCAAAUUUUGUCUUUCUCUGUCCUUCCUUCCUUCUUUCCUCCUUUCCUCCCUCAGAGCUUUCUCCCUCCCUCCAUUUUUUUUCAUAAACUCCAAGUGUUUAGGCCAAAAGGAAGCAUUAUUUGAACUUUAUGCUAAAAGUAUAAUGCCGUAAUUUAUAAUAUAAAAGUAAAGAAAAGGAAGUUGUUAAUGGAAUAUGAAAAAAUGCCUAGGGUGAUUCUAUAGCCAAGACAGUACCUUUUAACAUUUAAUUUCUGUCUCCAACUGAAUGUUUUCAGAACACAUGAGCAACACAAGCUCUUUCCCAUUCUUGGUACAAGCACUUGAGAAAUCAAAUUAGCCUUAUCUAGUAUGAUUAAUGUCCAUACAUCAUAUAAUCCCACCAUCUGCCUCCUGAUCAUACCCCCUGGGGACAUUCUUGGCUAUGUGUCCAGGAGACAUGUACACCAAUGUUUAUGGCAAAAACUAGAAACAAUCACAUAUACAUCAAUGGGAAUUAACAAAAUUGUCGUAUAAUAAUAAAAAGUAAAACUUCAGCAGCAACAGUGAAUGAACAGCACCCUCCCACAUCAGAGAUAACUCUCCUACACAUAACAUGCAUCAGCAUCACAGAAGAAUGCACAUUGUGUGAGUUCUCUGUACGGGGAAGUUUAAAAAAGCAGGUCAAACUGUGAUUUGGAUAUAUAUAUACUUAUUGUAAAAAUCUUUAGAGACAAUGAAAAGGAAUAGUAAAUACAAGACUCAAGAUAGAAGUUCCUUUUGGGGAAUAGAAUUGGACAACAGCCGAGGGUGGCUUCAUAGGUUUUGUUUUUUAUGCCAGGAGGGGAUGUCCAGGUAGUUAAGUUACUUGAUCAUAAAUCUUUAUUUAUUUAUUUAUUUAUUUAUUUUCGAGAUGGAGUCUCCCUCUUGUUGCCCAGGCUGGAGUGCAGUGGCGUGAUCUCAGUUCACUGCAACCUCCGCCUCCCAGGUUCAAGCAAUUCUCCUACCUCAGCCUCCUGAGUAGCUGGAAUUAUAGGCAUCCACCACGACACCCAGCCCUGGGGGAAGCUGGCUGUUGUGUCAUAAGGAGGCCUGUGGUCCAUGUGACUAGGAAGUGAGUCCUCCUGGGACCAGACAAUAAGAAGCUAAAGCCUCUUCCAAAAGCCAUGUGAGAGAUUCUUGUGUCUUGUGAAUCCCUGGCCCCAUUUGAGCCCUCAGGUGAUUCAGCCCUGGAAGACAACUAGACUGCAACUUUGUGAGAGGCCCUGAGCCAGAAGCAUUCAGAGAAACUUCUCCUGGAUUCCUGACCAUGGAUAACUGUGGGAGAUGAUAAAUAUUUGUUGAUUUGAGCUGCUAAGUUGUAGGUGACUUGUUAUGCAGCAGUAGAUAACUAAUACAGCUUCACAAGAGAGGAUGAAUCACUGAACUUUUUCAUUUGCUCUAAAUUCAUUAUAAGAUAUUAAACAUGUCAUUUGCUUUUAAUAUUUAAUAAAAAUUUCCAUGGCUAUAUAAGAUAU